rnacentral:lncRNA from 1 species
UGGAGUUGAUGGUAUAGAAAUCGUUACGGACUAAAAUUUCAAAUUCCUCCAAUUGAAGGUGAGUGCAUAUCAACUAUUUUGAAGCUACUGCAAUUUAUUUAUUUUUCCAGCCAAGGUUUUGUUACUUGUCUCAAGCUUACGCUAUUAAUUUUUGUGAUUGUUUUAAUGCGUUAUCCUAAAGUCGUUUUUGAUAAUAUUGUAGUGAGCCAUGGAAACCUCUCUUCUCUUCUACUAUCACAGAUAUACUGAAAAUCUCCCUCUUUUUUGCAUUUGUUAUAGGCCAUGUUUUUGGGAGGUAGAACAUUGAGAUUAUGUCAGGUAUGUCUUUCUCAAAAUCUAUUUCCUUGUUAUACAAAAUUUUGAGGCUAUUGCCUUUGGUAUGUCACAUCGUAGUCCUUCUAGGUAACACUAGGCUUGUGGUUAUCUCUGCAACAUCAUGUCUUUAAGUGUGCAAGAUGCUAUGGCCUGUGGGUUUUGUUUGAUUUCUAAGGCUUACUCAUGUUGAGAUUACAUUGCCAAUCAAGUACUCUCAGGUUGGGCAUCUGAAAUAGUUUAUUGAACCCUGGAUAACAAAAUACUAUGAAAAAGUUUCCACACCUGACAUUGAAAAAACUACAAUUGCACUGUCAAUUGUAAGUAAUUGGGACUCUUGAAUUGUGAUUCUUCAUUGUUGAUCUUACCUUUCCUGUGUGUUGUAAUUCUGAUGACUGAUAGUUGUGAUUUACGUAUUUUAACAAAUCUUUUGGCAUGAGUAGUCUGCUACUGUUGUUUGCUGAUUUUCAAAGUCACAAUUUUCUAAGUAGUCUGCUACUGCAUUCCUUUCUCUGUAUCCUUAUAUCAUGAUUAAUGAUCAACUCAUUGGCUUUAAUCAUAUUAUUUCUUAAACUGCAACAACACCAAUGAAGCAUCUCAUGAAUGAGUAUAUAGACCAUUAGGAUAUUAUAUAGUGAGUAAGAUAUCCAAUAUGCAUGUCAAUUUUUUGUCGUCUAACCAUCUACCGCUAUAUGUGUACAGUGGCAUACUCAUUCAAAUGGUGAGCUUGUUCAAGGAAUGACACACUGAUCCAGAAAGCUGUCACAUUUUGCAUUAGGGAACAAACACUGGCUUAAUUGCCUUAUUUUCUCCAUUGUUGAACGCAUUUUUUCUAUUUUGAUAAUUCAUAGUUUCUUUUACCACUACAAGAUAAGAAAUUGAAUGUAUUAAGAUUGUUUGUUCUUAUUUUAAGUGAAUGACAUUGUUUUCAGUUUG